GAGGCGAAUGUUCCUUCUUGUUCGCAAACAAAAAAUUCUCACCCUUCAAAUCUCUGUGCAUAAAUCCUUUAGCGUGACGUUCGGCGAUUGUUCUCGCGACGUUCGCUGCAGCUCGUUCGGUGUAGUGCCCUCUCGAUACAAUCCGAUCGAAAAGCUCGUCUCCCUCACAAAGCUCCAUAACCUGAUGAACAUUAUCGUUAUCCCCUACACAGAUACGUGAUCCCGAACUCUCCACGGCCUAGUUCAAGCCCCAGUAUAUACUUGUCGCUGAUUCGCGUCCGGUGACCGAGCGAAACCCUAAGUGGAGCCGGCGAGAAAAUGCGGGGUCGGUUGAGAAGAAAAGCAGGGUCAUAUGCCGCUUAUAUCUAUCUCGGGGUUGCAUCAGUUGCAUUUGUUUAUCUUCUUCUUAGCCGUAUUUCAUGUGGUAUAUAGUGCCAUCACAACGAUGCUUGGGAGGCUAAAGAUUCAAGGUUGGAAGGCAUGGGAGGAGGAGACCUCAACUCACAAUUAUGAGUUCUCAAAUGAUAAUGCACUGUCAGGCCUACUUACGAAACAUCAUUUGUGAAAGCCCACACGAGUUUUUGGCAAAACUUCCUGUCUUCUUUUAUAUUGGAUGCUUCUUCCGACAAUUUUUCAAGUCCGUUGGUAAGGCUGACUACUUGGCAUUAUGUAAUGGAUUCAUCGCGGUUCACCUUGCUCCAGGAAGUAAAUUUGACUUUCAAAAAUAUAUCAAAAGAUCUCUAGAAGAUGACUUCAAAAUAACUGCGGGAGUGAGGUAAAAAAUUGAUUUACUAUACUCUACUCUUCCCAAAUAGUACCAUGUUUUCAUGGGUGGAUCAUUUAUUCCAAAUGAUCGAACCUUUAGUCAUCCUGAUUAAAUAGACUUGAGAGAGGUUGAGCAAGGAAUGAAAUAUCGUUAGUUGUAGGUGGUUAGGAAUGGAGCAUUGAACUCUAAUUUAAUAUUGUCAUCCUUUUAAGGGAAGCCAAAGCUAUUAUUUAGAUGAAAUUAAACAAUACAAAGAGAAUAAAAAAUCAACACUCCAAAAGAUGGUCCCUUAUUAACCUAUAAGGGGCCUAAUAUAUCACAACGAGACAAAGGCUUCUCACACAGAGUUGUGAUGUUAUUAGCCUUUAAGCAGCCAAAAUAAAGCAAAAAAAGAUAUAAAAAAGUAAUUACAACAAGCUUUUAGAAACUUUCCAUUCAAAGAUGUGAUAAAUAACAAAGUUAAACCUAACUCAAGAUCUCUACAUCCCUCUAAACCCCAUAAAUUUAUUUGAUUGAAGAGGUAUAGCCAUUUUUUGUACUACAAAGUAAAAGUUCGGUUGGAGAGUUCAGAAAAUGGACAACUUUAAGACAUGAUAAGAGAGUUUUAUUUAAAGUUUGAGAUAAGACUAAGUUCGAGAUAAGACUACAACUUUUUGAUUGAAGACACCCUGGUAUUCUUUGAAUAGAAGUGUAGAUGAUUGGAUGUGAAGUAAAUAAAAUGGACUAGUAAACAUACUUUUUCAGACUAGUAAAUGACUUGUUAAAGGCGUUACAAGAUAACAAUAGAGAUUAUAUGUAUUCCAUGAUGAAGGGAGAUAAGUUACCGGAUAAGAGAAUUUGGAUUAAAGUAUGUUAUUGGACUUCAGCUUUUUUAAUUGAAGAGGUCUAGCUGUUGUUUGGAUUAAAAAGUAAAAGUUUGGUUGAAGAGCUCAAAAGAUGGACAAAUUAAAAGAUACUUGGGAUAAGAGUUUAAGGUUUUAAGAUUAGACUUCCAACAUUUGGAUUGGGGGUUAUUCAUUCUUUGGAUUACAAAGUAAAAAUGUGGUUGAAGUGUUAAAAAACUAAACAAAUUAAGAAAUACAUAGGAUAAGAGAAUUUUGGCUUAAAGUCAAAGAUUGUACUACAACUUUUUGAUGGAAGACACCAAGCCAUUCUUUGGAUGGAAGUGUAUAUUAUAGGUUUCAGAGUUAGAAAUGGACAAAUAGAGGUACAUCUAAGACUUAUGAACAAUUUGUUUAAGUGAUUGACAUUGAAACAUAACGUUAGAGAUUAUAGAUACCUUGGUGAUGAUAGAUAAAUAAGAGAUAUAAUGUUAGAGGUCUAACGGUUCUCGGAUUUAAAGGCAUUAAUUAGAUUGUAGAGUUUUAGAAAAUUGAAAAAUUAAGAGAUACAAUAGAUCAAAUAAUUUUGGUUUAAGAUUGGAAAUUAGACUUCGAACAUUUUGAUUUAAGGGGGCCUAGCCAUUCUUUGGAUUACAAAGUACUAAGUUGGUUGAACAGUUCAUAAAUUGGAAAAAAAAAAAAAAGAGAGAUAUGUAGGAUUGCAAUAUUUUUGUUUAAAGUUUGAGAUUGAACUACAACUUUUUUGCUUGAAGACAACGUGCCAUUGUUUUGACGAAAGUGUAGAUUGUUGGAUAUGGAGUUAGAAAAUGCACAAAUAAAGGUACAUCUAAGACUUAGGGAGGAUUUGUUCAAGUGUUUGGCAUUGGAACAUAAUGUAACGUUGGAGAUUAUAUAUUGAUAAGAGGAAAACACAAAUUUAUUGUUGAUAGUUAUGUAUUCCAUGACGAAGGAAAAUAAGUAAAGAUAAGAUAAUUUUGGAUUAAAGUAUGUCAUUGGACUUCAAUUUUUUGUUCGGAGAGGUCUAGUUCUAUGGAUUAAAAAGCUAAAAUUCGAUUGGAGAGUUUGAAAAAUGAACAAAAUUAAGAGACACCGAAGAUGAGAGAAAUUUGAUUUAAGGUUGGGAUUGGACUUCAAGAUUUAGAUUAAGGUUGGAGUUUGAAGAGUAUAAAAUUGGUUGAAGAGUUCGAAAAACGAACCAAUUAAGCAUCACUUAAGAUAAUUUGGUUUAAAGUUGGAGAUUGGACUUCAAUGUUUGAAUUUAGGGGAUGCAGCCUUAUUUGGACUAUACAAAGUACAAAAUUUGUUGAAGAGUUCAUAAAUUGGAAAAAUUAAGAGAUACACAAGAUUUGGUUUAAAGUAUGAGAUGAGACUAUAACUUUUUGAUGGACGACACCGAGUCAUUCUUUGAACUAAAGUGUAGUAUAUAAUUGGAUGCAAAACUAAGGAAAUUUACGAAUAAAGGUCCUUAGAAGACUCAUGCACAAUAUAUUGAGAGGGGAGAAAGACAAAUUUAUUGUUGAUAGUCAUGUUUUCAUGAUGAUGGAAGAUAAGAAAGGAUAAGAGAGAUUUGGAUUAAAGUAUGUAAUUUUAUUUAGUUGAAGAGUUCAAAAAGAUGACAUAUUACGAAAUAGAAAUGAUAAAAUAAUUUUAGUUUAAGGAUGGAGAAUUUUGGUUAAAGGAUAAAGGGAAAUUGGUUGAAGGUUCUUGAUUGGACUUCAACAUUUGGAUUUGAUGGAGCCUGAUCGUUCUUUGGGGUACAAAGAACAAAAUUAGUUGUAAAGUUCAUAAAUUGAAAAAAUUCAGAAAAUUUGGGUUUAAGUUUGAGCUCAUACUACAACUUUUCAAAUGAAGGUAGUGUGCCAUUGUUUGGAUGAAAGUGUAGAUUAUUGAUGCGAAGUUAAGAAAAUAUAGAAAUAAAGGAACAUCUAAGACUUAGGGAGGAUUUGUUUAAGUGAUUGACAUUGAAAUAUCAUGUUAGAGACUUGUAUGUUGAAGAACGAAAAACACAAAUUUGGUGUUGAUAGGUAUGCAUUCCAUGAGGGAGGAAAAUAAGUAAAGAUAAGAGAAUUUUGGAUUAAAGUAUGUGAUUGGACUUCAACUUUUUUAUUAAGGUUGGAUGUUGAAGAGUUCGAAAGAUGAACAAAUUAAGAGACAAUAAAGAUUAGAGAAAUUUGAUUUAAGGUUGGAGGUUGAAGAGAAUAAAAUUGGUUGAAGAGUAACUUAAGAUAAUUUGGUUGUUGGAGAUUAGACUUCAAUAUUUAAAUUGAAGGAAGCUAGCCAUUAUUUGGAUUAUGAAGUAAAAAUUGGUUGAAAAGUUGAUAAAUUGGAAAUAAUUAAGAGUACAAGAUUAGAGAUUGGUUUAAAGCAUGAGAUGGGACUACAAGUUUUUUAUGGAAGAUACCAAGCCGUUCUUUGCAUUAAAUUGUAGAUAAUUGGAAAGCUAAGAAAUGGAAGAGCAAAGGUACUUAUAAGACUCAUGGAUGGUAUGUUGAAAGAGGAAAAAGACAAAUUAGUUGUUGAUAAUUAUCUAUUUCAUGACGAAGAUAAGAAGGAUAAGAGAAUUUUGGAUUAAGGUAUGUGUUUUUAUUUUAGCUUUUUGAUUGAAGUGGUUUAGCCGUUAUUUGAAUUAAAAAGCAAUUAUUUAGUUGAAGAGUUUAGAAAAUUGACAAAUUACAAGAUACAAAGUAUAAAAUAAUUUUGCUUAAAAGUUAAAGGAACUUUGGUUUAAGGUUGGUGAAUGGACUUCAACAUUUGGAUUUAAGGGGCCUAGCCAUUCUUUGGGAUACAAAAUACAAAAUUGGUUGGAGAGUUCAUAAAUUGGUAAAAUUAAGAGAUUCAUAAAUUGUUAAAAGUCUGAGAUUGGACUACAAUUUUUUGAAUGAAGGCAACAUGUCAUUGAUUGGAUGAAAUUGUUGGGUGCAGAAACAAGAAAAUAGACAAAUAAUAAGACUUGUGGAGGAUUUCUCAAGUGAUUGUCAUUGAAACAUAAAGUUAGAGAUUAUAUAUUAGAAAAAGGAAAACUCAAGUUUGUUGAUAAUUAUGCUAUGAUGAAGGUAAACAAGUAAAGUGAAUUUUGAAUUAAAGCAUGUGACUGGACUUCAACCUUUUUGUUAAAGAGGUCUUGUUGUUGAUAAUUAUGCUAUGAUUAAGGUUGGAGGUUUAAGAGUAUAAAAUUGGUUGAAGAGUUCGAAAAUGAACAAAUUAAGCAUCACUUAAGAUAACUUGGUUUAAGGUUGGAGAUUGAACUUAAUGAUUUGGAUUGUAAGGACCUAAACAUUAUUUGGACUACAAAUUACAAUAUUGAUUGAAGAGUUCAUAAAUUGGAAAAAAAUAUUGAUUGAAGAGAGAGAUACCCAAGACUAGAGACGGUUGGUUUAAAGUUUGAGAUUAGACUACAACUUUUUAAAUGAAGGCAUGUCACUGUUUGGAUGAAGGUGUUGAUUAUUGGAUGCAAAGUGAAUAAAAUGGACAAAUAAUAAGACUUAUGGAGGAUUUUUAAGUGAUUGUGAUUGGAACAUAGUGUUAGAGAUUAUAUUUUGAAAAAGGGAAAACACAAAUUUGUUGGUAGUUAUUUAUUCCAUGGUGAAGGCAAGUAAGUAAAGAUAAGUGAAUUUUGGAUUAAAGAAUGUGAUUUGAUUUCAACUUUUUGAUUAAAGAGGUCCAAUCAAACUAUUGAAGAUUAGAGAAAUUUGAUUGAGGUUGGAGAUACUUCAAGAUUUGGAUUAAGGUUGGAGGUUGGAAAGUAUAAAAUUGGUUAAAGAGUUCGAAAAAUGAACAAAUUUAGGAGUCACUCAAGGUAAUUUGGUUUAACGUUGGAGAUUGGACUUCAACAUUUUGGAUUUAAGGGACCCAACCAUUAUUUGGAUUAUACCAAGUACAAAAUUGGUUGAAGGGUUCAAAUAGGAAAAAUUAAGGGGCCGUUUGUGGGGAAGAGUGACUUAUAAUAUAGUCUAGGUAUUGUAAUAGUCUGGAGAUUAUAAUAGCCUGUGUUUCGAGUGCAGACUUGAGAGGAGUGGAGUAGGGCUAUUUCAGCCCGACUCCACGUUUGAGGCAUGGAUUAAGCAAAAGGGGGUUAGUGUUAUUUUUCUCCCUUUACUUUACGCUGAAAUCCCUACCACAUGUUGUUCCAUUCUCUCGGUUGAGUGCAUCUUGGGACAACUGAAAAUUUUGUUUUUCUCAGGGUCAUCUUGACUGAGAUCGACCCGGAGAUUCUUCUUAAAACUAUAAAACUAUUCGAAGGAAAUUUAUCACUCUCUCUUGGGGAUAUCUCAGGCCAACUUUGGCCCGAGAUCAUACUACAUUAGCUUAUGUUCUUUAGUUCAGGGUUAUCUCGGGUCAACUUUGGCCCGAUAUCAUACUACAUUACCUUAUCUUCUUUAGCUUGAGGCUUUGGCCCGAGAUAGCCUCGAGCUAAAGAACAUAAGCAUAAUGUAGUAUGAUCCCGGCCCAAAGUUGCCCUGAGCUAAAGAACAUAAGCAUUAUGUAGUAUGAUCUCGGGCUAAGGUUGCCCAGAGAUGUCCCUGAGAGAGAUUGAGAAAUUUCCUUCAAAGAGUUAUUUAAAUUUGGGAAGAGAUCUCGAGGUCAAUUUUGACCUGGAAAAACAAAAUUAAUGGUGGUCCCAAGAUGCACUCAACUUUGAGAGUGGAAUAGUGUGUGGCAGGGAGUAAAUAACCUUAAUUUCCCUUUUGCUUAAUCCAUACCCCAAACGUGGAGUAGGCUAAAAUAACCCACUUCCCUCCCCUCCCCUCAAGUCUGCACCCCACACGCUCUAAGAGAUACACAAGACUAUAGAUUGUUGGUUUAAAGUAUGAGAUGAGACUACAACUUUUUGAUGGACGACACCAAGUCAUUCUUUGAAUUAAAAUGUAGAUAAUUGGAUGCAAAACUAGGAAAAUGGAAGAAUAAAGAUCUUUAGAAGACUCAUGGACGAUAUAUUGAAAGGGGGAAAACACAAAUUUAUUGUUGAUAGUCAUGUAUUCCAUGAUGAAGGAAGAUAAGAAAGGAUAAGAAAAUUUUGGAUUAAAGUAUGUAAUUUUAUUUCAACUUUUUGAUUGGGGAGGUCUAAUCGUUCUUUGAAUUAAAAAGCAAUUAUUUAGUUGAAGAGUUCAUAAAAGUGACAUAUUACGAGAUACAAAGGAUAUAAUAAAUUUGGUCUAAGGUUGGAGAAUUUUGGUUAAAGGAUUAAGGAAAUUUGGUUGGAGGUUGGAAGAUUGGACUUCUCCAUUUGUACUUAAUGGGGCCUAGCCAUUCUUUGGUAUAUAAAGAACAAAAGUGGUUGGAGAGUUCAUAAAUUGGAUAAAUUAAGAGAUGCUUAGGAUUGGAGAAUUUGGGUUGAAAGGUUUGAGAUUGGAUUACAACUUUUUGAAUGAAGGCAUCAUGCCAUUGUUUGGAUGAAAGAGUUGAUUAUUAUUGGAUGUAGGGUCAAGAAAAUGGACAAAUAAUAAGAUUUGUGGAGGAUUUGUCAAGUGAUUGUCAAUGAAAUAUGACUUUAAAGAUUAUAUAUUGAAAAAGGGAAAGCAUAAAUUUGUUGUCGAUAGUUAUGUAUUCCAUGAUGAAGGCACAUAAAUGAAAAUAAGUAAAUUUUGGAUUAAAGUAUGUGAUUGGACUUGAACAUUUUGAUUGAAAAGCUAAAGUUUGGUUGGAGAGCAUAAAAAAUGGACAAAUAAAAAGAUGCUUAGGAUAAGCGUUUAAGGUUUGAGAUUGGACAUCCAACAUUUGGAUUGAAGAUGCUUGGCCAUUCUUCUAAUUACAAAGUAAAAAUGUGGUUGAAGAAUUCAUAAACCGGACAAAUUAAGAGAUACAUUAGAUAAGAGAAUUUUGGUUUAAAGUGUAAGAUUGGACUACAACUUUUGGAUGGAAAACACCAAGUGAUUCUUUGGGUGAAAGUGCAGAUUAUUGGAUGCGGAGUUAGGAAAAUGGACAAAUAGAGGUACCUCUAGGACAUAUGGAUGAUUUGUUCAAGUGAUUGAUAUUGAAACAUAACGUUUGAGAUUAUAUAUACCUUGGUGAUGAAAGAUGAGUAAUUUUGUUUAAGUAUGAGAUUGGACUACAACUUUUUGAUGGAAGACACCAAAUCGUUCUCUGGAUGAAAAAGUAGACAAUUGCACGAAAAGUUAAUAAAAAAAGGAUAAAUAGAGGGUACUUCUAAGAUUCACGAACGGUUUGUUCAAGUGAUUGGCAUUGGAAAGUAAAGUUGGAGAUUAUCUAUACCAUGAUGACGAUGAAUAAUAAAGGAUGGGAGACUUUUAUGUUAAAUUAUGUGAUUGGACUUUUAAUUUUUGAUUGAAGAAGUUUGGCAUUCUUUGAAUUACAAAGUAAAAGUUUGGUUGAGUUCAUGAAAUAGGCAAUUAAAAGAUAUAGGAUAAGAGAAUUUGGUUUAAAGUUUAAGAUUGGGUUAUAACUUUGUGAUAGUUGACACAUUGUCAUUCUUUGGAUGAAGUGUAGAUAAUUGAAUGCUAAAUAAAUAAAAUGGACAAAUAAAGUUACUUCUUAGACAUGUGGACGAUUUGUUAUAGUGAUUGAUGUUGGAAGAUAAAGUUAGAGGUUAUAUGUUGUAAAUGGGAGAACAAAAAUUUGGUGUUGAUAAUUACGUAUUCCAUGAUGAAGGCAAAAGAGUAAUGAUUAAGAGAAUUUUGGAUUAAAGUAUGUGAUUGAACCUCAACUUUUGAUUCAAGAGGUCUAGCCGUUGCAAAGGCUAAAGUUCAUAGAAGCGUUUGAAAAAUGGACGACUUAAAAGAUAUUGAAGAUAAGAGAUGGAUUUCAACGUUUGGAUUGAAGAGUCCUAGCCACUCUUUGGAUUUCAAAGUACAAAAUUGGUUGAAGAGUUAAUAAAUUGGAAAAAUUAAGAGAUACAUAAGAUUAGAGAUGGUUUAAAGUAUGAGAUGAGACUACAACUUUUUGAUUGGCGACACCAAGCCGUUCUUUGGAUUGAAGUGUAGAUGAUUGGAUGUAAAGCUAGGAAAACGGACGAAUAAAUGUCUUUAGAAGACUCAUGGACGAUAUAUUGAAAGGGAAAAAACACAAAUUUGUUAUUGAUAGUCAUGUAUCCCGUGAUGAAGGAAGAUAAGAAACGAUAAGAGAAUUUUGGAUUAAAGUAUGAUAAAGUUACUUCUUAGGCAUGUGGACGAUUUGUUAUAGUUAUUGAUGUUGGAAGAUAAAGUUAGAGAUUAUAUGUUGUAAAUGGGAGAACAAAAAUUUUGUGUUGAUAAUGACGUAUUCCAUGAUGAAGGCAAAAGAGUAAUGAUUAAGAGAAUUUUGGAUUAAAGUAUGUGAUUGAACUUCAACUUUUGAUUCAAGAGGUCUAGCCUUUGUAAAGGCUAAAGUUAAAUUGGAGAGUUUUAAAAAUGGACAACUUAAAAGAUAUUGAAGAUAUGAGAGUUUUGGUUUAAGGUUGGAGAUGGACUUCAACGUUUGGAUUGAAGAGUCCUAGCCACUCUUUGGAUUUCAAAGUACAAAAUUGGUUGCAAUGUUCAUAAAUUGGAAAAAUUAUGAGAUACAUAAGAUUAGAGAUGGUUUUAAGUAUGAGAUGAGACUACAAUUUUUUGAUUGACGAUAACAAGCCAUUCUUUGGAUUUGAAGUGUAGAUAAUUGGAUGUAAAGCUAAGGAAACGGACGAAUAAAUGUCUUUAGAAGACUCAUUGACGAUAUAUUGGAAGGGAGAAAACACAAAUUUGUUAUUGAUAGUCAUGUAUCCCAUGAUGAAGGAAGAUAAGAAACGAUAAGAGAAUUUUGGAUUAAAGUAUGAUAAAGUUACUUCUUAGACAUGUUGACGAUUUGUUAUAGUGAUUGAUGUUGGAAGAUAAAGUUAGAGAUUAUAUGUUGUAAAUGGGAGAACAAAAAUUUUGUGUUGAUAAUGACGUAUUCCAUGAUGAAGGCAAAAGUGUAAUGAUUAAGAGAAUUUUGGAUUAAAGUAUGUGAUUGAACUUCAACUUUUGAUUCAAGAGGUCUAGUCGUUGUAAAGGCUAAAGUUCAAUUUGAGAGUUUGAAAAAUGGACGACUUAAACGAUAUUGAAGAUAAGAGAAUUUUGGUGUAAGGUUGGAGAUGGACUUCAACGUUUGGAUUGAAGAGUUCUAGCCACUCUUUGGAUUUCAAAAUACACAAUUAUUUGAAGAGUUCAUAAAUUGGAAAAAUUAAGAGAUAUAUAAGAUUAGAGAUGAGACUACAACUUUUUGAUUGACAACACCAAACCGUUCUUUGGAUUGAAGUGUAGAUAAUUGGAUGGAAAAGUAAGAAAAAUGAUGAAUAUAGGUCUUUAGAAGGCUCAUGGACGAUAUAUUGAAACGGUAAAAAGUCUAAUUUGUUGUUGAAUGUCAAUUGUGAAGGAAGAUAAGAAAGGAUAAAGAUAAUUUGGAUUAAAGUGCAAUUUUAUUUGAAAUUUUUGAUUGAGGAGGUCUAGUCGUUAUUUGAAUUAAAAAACAAUUAAUUUAGUUGAAGAGUUCAGAAAAGUGUCAUAUUACGUUAUACAAAUGAUAAAAUAAUUUUAGUUUAAGGAUGGAGAAUUUUGGUUAGGAUAAAGGAAAUUUGGUUUGAGGUUCCAGAUUAGACUUCGACAUUUGGAUUUAAUGGGCCUAGCCAUUCUUUGGGAUGCAAAGAACAAAAUUCGCAAAGAACAAAAUUGGUUGGAGAGUUCAUAAAUUGGAAAAAUUAAGAAAUGCAUAGGAUCAGAGAAUUUGGGUUUAAAGUAUGAGAUUGGACUACAACUUUUUGAAUGAAGGCAACAUGCCAUUGUUUGGAGGGAGAAUAAUAUAGGUCAUAAUAAACCCUAACAAAAAACAAAAAAGGAAAUAAAGAAAUAAAGCUAAGGUACAAUAAAUUACACAAAUACACUUGGAGCUAGCCCUUAAUUUCCAGCACUCCCCCUCAAGUUGGAACUAAGGGUACGUUGACAAGGUACAGGUCGGUUACCAGCUUGGAAGUCUUAAUAUUAAUAGGGUGAGAUGGUGCCUCGUCUCGGUUUCUGUCUUGUGCAUGGAGAAAGAAGAUAACUCAAGAACCCUCAUUUUGACCUCUGGCUUCUGCUGAUUGUCUUAUAAUUAAUAAGUAGAUAAUCAAACUCUUCUUCUCUGAUAUUGAAUUGAGGAUGAAGGACCAAUAAUAUGCUUCAUACAAGGGUUCAUUCCUUCUUUCCGCACACAAAAAGAGAUAUGACCUAGGGUACUGUGACAGAAAAGCUCCAAAGCACUCUGAUUGAAGAAGAAGAUAGGAAAAGGUGGGAGAUCUUUUCAUAAAGACUUCGUGGACAAGGAAAGGGAAUCAGCUCCAGGAGGCAAAAGAAUGUCCCAGUAAAGUAAGGCCAUUGAAGCUCGCCUUAGGCCUUUCUUUCUCAUAGCUCAUGAAAGAGCAUACCGAUCAAGGGAUUGAGCGGAUAGAAUCAUACCUCUCAAUUUUCAUUUAUUCUAUUUCUUUUAUUACCUAGCUUUCCGACACAGAAAGAAGAAGGGAUUUCUCAUCCUCUCCCUUACUUAGACCCCAAAAAGUGGGAAAUUAUGUGAGAGAGGAGACACAGGUUUUCUUCCUUUGUAAACAAAAUUCAGUUCCUUUGCGAGCAUAUUACUUGGAAUUCCCUGGCUUAGAGACAAGGACUUUGGUCUCAAAAGACCUUGGAGCUCAUCUUUGGGGUGUGAACCCCAGUUACUCUUCCCUUUCCAACCUCUGACGGACGGACGGAUUCUUCUUUCUCUUCUCUUUGGGAUAGCAUGGCUGCUUAGUUUCUUUGUCCCACUCUGAACCUCGUUCAGAAAACCUAUCUUGCACUUUUCUAUCUUUUCGAUUUCGUAAACUUACUUCUUAUCGAUUAGAUCUCGCCUUUCGCUUCCCUUCGCGCUUUCAUUCACUCCGCUCCUUUCUGAUAACCUGCUAAGGAAAUGAGAGGAUAUGAAUUGAAUAUAAUCAGAAAAAGAAAAGAUCAUUAAAAGAAGCAAA